GACGAACGCUGGCGGCGCGCCUAACACAUGCAAGUCGAACGAGCGAGAGAGAGCUUGCUUUCUCGAGCGAGUGGCGAACGGGUGAGUAACGCGUGAGGAACCUGCCUCAAAGAGGGGGACAACAGUUGGAAACGACUGCUAAUACCGCAUAAGCCCACGGCUCGGCAUCGAGCAGGGGGAAAAGGAGCAAUCCGCUUUGAGAUGGCCUCGCGUCCGAUUAGCUAGUUGGUGAGGUAACGGCCCACCAAGGCGACGAUCGGUAGCCGGACUGAGAGGUUGAACGGCCACAUUGGGACUGAGACGCGGCCCAGACUCCUACGGGAGGCAGCAGUGGGGAAUAUUGCACAAUGGGGGAAACCCUGAUGCAGCGACGCCGCGUGGAGGAAGAAGGUCUUCGGAUUGUAAACUCCUGUUGUUGGGGAAGAUAAUGACGGUACCCAACAAGGAAGUGACGGCUAACUACGUG
rnacentral:rRNA from 1 species